GAAGUUUCGGCAGGCAUCGAAGGCCCCACCCUCACAGAGCCGGGAGGCGCGAAAGGUUCCAGUAGGUUCUGGGGACUUACCUCACAGGCCCAGCAGCACGUCAGUUCACUGAGAGAAGGGCCAGGCACUGCUGGACAUGACGAUCCUCCUUGCUUUGCUCCUGGUCAUGGACCUGCCACGGGUGGAGACAAAUGUCACCGUGUCUGGAAAACAAGACGUAGCACUGAGGUGUCAUGUAUGUGAGAGAGAGAAUAGUUUCAACUGCACCCAUGAAACGAACUGUGGAGAGGGUGUUAAGUUUUGUUCUUCUGUUGCCGUGAGUAAG